rnacentral:rRNA from 1 species
GAUGAACGCUAGCUGCAGGCUUAACACAUGCAAGUCGAGGGACCGGCGCACGGGUGAGUAACACGUAUCCAACCUGCCCUUUACCCGGGGAUAGCCUUUCGAAAGAAAGACUAAUACCCGAUAUAAAGGAUGGGGAUGCGUUCCAUUAGGUUGUUGGUGAGGUAACGGCCAACCAAGCCUGCGAUGGAUAGGGGUUCUGAGAGGAAGGUACCCCAGAAUUGAGAUGCGGCACGGUCCAAUCUCCUACGGGAGAGAGCAGUAGGGAAUAUUAGUCAAUGGGCGGUGGCCUAAACAAGCCAAGUAGCUUAAGAGAUGAAGGCUUAUGGGUCGUAAACUACUUUUAUAUAAGAAUAGGUAUUAUAUGAAUAAGGAUCGGCUAACUCCGUGCCAGCAGCCGCGGUAAUAC